AAAAGGAGAGGAAAAGAAAAACAAACCACACUGCAACUCACUGAUGCCUGUGAGGGAAGAACAAAGCUGGCGAGUGUGCCUCCUCAUCUUUAUCAGCGGCCCAUAGGAGAUGUUUCCCUGACUUGGGUCUUCCACUUGAAAACAUUUCAUCUGUAAUUCACAGGAUAGGUCUGUUGCAUGAAAACAUUUGUAUCCAGGGAAAAGUGCUUGAAGGAAACUAAUUUGCAGGGAUAGCAUUUGAACGAAG